UAAAUCUACCAUUUUCAACUCAUAAACAAAUAUAUUCCAAACACUUUAAGGCCAUAACAAGAUCAUCUAAGGAACUAACAAGCAUGUAGCUACAAUAGGAGCUUUCUUGGAGCUUAAUCUUCUUCUAAUCUUCUUAUUUGGCUUGUGCAAAGUUAUAAUGAAAAGUGUUAUUGACACGUACGGACGCUCACUUCGAUAUCAUAGUACACGGAACGCAAACUUGUGA
rnacentral:lncRNA from 1 species